rfam:Solenopsis invicta Si_gnG.contig95065, whole genome shotgun sequence.
UAAUCUGCCCUUUUCAGGGCAACCAAAUAAUUUAUUUCAGGAACUAU